AAUGCUCAGAAAGAAAAAACGCACAGAAAAACAUAAAGUCUCUACCGUUUCAUUUCAUUCAAUGGAAUUGAACUCGGACUUGAAUUCACACACCAGGUAUAAAAAAAGAAGAAAAUCAGAGUUUUGUUACCCCAAGUUUGAAGACACGUUUUCUGGAUCAUCACUUUCAUGUUUCUUUGUGCGGAAAAAAUUCUCAAUCUCAUGUAUGAUUCGUUUGGGUAUCUCAAAUUGGGGUUCUUAUUUCUUUCUCUCAAUGUUUGGUUUUUAUUUUUCGCCUAGCAAAAGGUAAGCCGUAGAUUUCUGAUUCGCAUUUUUUUAUAACUAUCGAUUCACUAAUGGCGUAACUACUACAGCACGUCAUCCAUCCCGGAAAGCUUAGGUAUGUAUCGGUUUCCUCACAAUUAACAUUACUGUAAUUUUACUUUUAGCACAUGUAUUACAUUUCAUACAUUAGCUUUAGUGGAACGAUCCUGAUAUAUCUAUAUUUCUAAUCUUCUAUGUUGUUUAAUUGCUAUUUUUUUUUAUUUUUUUUUUGGUUUUGAAACAAUCAAUUGUUAAGCCUAGACGUUCUUGGGUUCAGACGAAUUUAGCUAGAACUGGGCGUAUUUGUGCAUCUUACAUUUUUUGUGAACCGUUGUCUUAAAUAAUAUCUAUGGUAGAAAAGGAGUGUAUGAUCCUUAUUUACGAAGUUUUGAUAAUGUCAACAGGGUAAGUGUGAUUAUGGACUUAAAGAGUGUUCGAAAAAAAUGCUUGAAAAGUAGUUUUAGCUGGUGUAAAACAGGAAUGCCAGUAGCCGAAAAGCAAUAAGUUAGGCUAAAAGUUUGCUAUAUAUAUAUAUAUUUAGGUCGGCCGUGUCGUAGCUUAUUAAGGAAAAUUGGUAAGUUUUGGCUACAACAUCCAAGCCAAACUUUCAGUCAAUGAAAAAUAAGGUACUGAUGACAGAACGUAAAUUUUAGUUUGAAGUAUUAAUCUGUGGUUUUUGUUAAUAGCGGUUCCAGAAAUCACCAUUGGAACUGUAAGUUUGAUUUUGGACGUAUUUCGUUUGUUACUUUAUCUGAAAUAUCUAUUUGAUUUAGUUGUUCAUCUUGAGUGUUCCUUACAAAAUCUUUGAUCUAUUUUUGCAGAUUUUUAUCGGCAGGGGAUAUAUUGGGAGACAAGCCAGCAUCCAGCUCAUGUACGUAUCGGCUUCGAUACGGUAAAUGUCAAUAGAAUUUCACUUGAUUUGAUUUGCUUUGGGAUGUAUUAAGUAAGGGUCGACUUGAUUUGUAUAUUAAGUGGAAGGUUUAUGAAUUAAACCAUUCACCGAGUUGUUCGUAUAACUGACUUUAGUGGAGAAGAAUGAGAAGUCAGGAAAUAAUUUAAUGAUCAAGAAUGAUUUUAUUUGUUUAGAAUGAGUUCGCAAAUGUUUGAUGAGAUUUGUGGUUACUUUGCUGCUUUUACAAAAAUGUUGCUACGAUCAAAAAAAAUGUCACUAUCGCGGUUUACUUGAAAAAGACUAUGACUUUGUUGUAGGUGGAAAAAUUGAAGUUUGAGUUUGAGAAUUGCUUUAUCAUGGAAGCAGCGUCUUGGCACAGGAGGAUGAUAUCUUAUCGCUGCUUUCUGAGGGGAAAAAUCCUGAGGAUUUGAUGAUUGAUGUCAAUAUUAAUGAUGAAAUCUCGAGAAAGUCAUGGACUGCACCGAGCUGAUUGUUGAACAAAUAUCAAACAAAAAGUUGAAGGUGUUGGCUGGGAAGUGAAUAUUUAGAAAUGUUGAGCCAUGCCUACAAGUUGGAGAUUCUUAAUAUGUACAAGUGAAGGUAUAUGGCAGACAUGCAGCACAUGAUUACUUCCCUUGAAGAAAAAGACAAGUGUACAAGCAUAUUAGAACAUCGAAAACGCCAGUCUCCCUCACCUAAAGCAGCGAUACUUAAGUACUGAACUAUAUUGCAUCAGAG